UACGUAGGCAGCGAGCGUUGUUCGGAAUUACUGGGCGUAAAGAGUGUGUAGGCGGCGUUCUAAGUCUGAUGUGAAAUCUCCCGGCUCAACUGGGAGGGUGCGUUAGAAACUGGAAUGCUCGAGUAUGGGAGAGGUAAGCGGAAUUCCUGGUGUAGCGGUGAAAUGCGUAGAUAUCAGGAGGAACACCUGUGGUGUAGACAGCUUACUGGACCAUGGACUGACGCUGAGACACGAAAGCGUGGGUAGCAAACAGG
rnacentral:rRNA from 1 species